CCUACGGGUGGCAGCAGUGAGGAAUAUUGGUCAAUGGGCGCAAGCCUGACCCAGCAACGCCGCGUGAAGGAAGAAUGCUUUCGGGUUGUAAACUUCUUUUCUCAGAGACGAAGCACGUGACGGUACCUGAGGAAUAAGCCACGGCUAACUACGUGCCAGCAGCCGCGGUAAUACGUAGGGUGCAAGCGUUAUCCGGAUUUACUGGGUGUAAAGGGCGUGUAGGCGGGGACGCAAGUCAGAUGUGAAAACCACGGGCUCAACCUGUGGCCUGCAUUUGAAACUGUGUUUCUUGAGUACUGGAGAGGCAGACGGAAGUCCUAGUGUAGCGGUGAAAUGCUUAGAUAUUAGGAGGAACACCAGUGGCGAAGGCGGUCUGCUGGACAGCAACUGACGCUGAGGCGCGAAAGCGUGGGGAGCAAACAGGAUUAGAUACCCGGGUAGUC
rnacentral:rRNA from 1 species